GUGGGGAAUAUUGGACAAUGGGCGCAAGCCUGAUCCAGCCAUGCCGCGUGAGUGAUGAAGGCCCUAGGGUUGUAAAGCUCUUUCACCGAUGAAGAUAAUGACGGUAGUCGGAGAAGAAACCCCGGCUAACUUCGUGCCAGCAGCCGCGGUAAUACGAAGGGGGCUAGCGUUGUUCGGAAUUACUGGGCGUAAAGCGCACGUAGGCGGAUAUUUAAGUCAGGGUUGAAAUCCCAGAGCUCAACUCUGGAACUGCCUUUGAUACUGGGUAUCUCGAGUAUGGAAGAGGUGAGUGGAAUUCCGAGUGUAGAGGUGAAAUUCGUAGAUAUUCGGAGGAACACCAGUGGCGAAGGCGGCUCACUGGUCCAUUACUGACGCUGAGGUGCGAAAGCGUGGGGAGCAAACAGGAUUAGAUACCCUUGUAGUCC
rnacentral:rRNA from 1 species